ACUUCCCUGAUGCAGAGCAAUCACCCCAUGGAGCAUGGCCCCGAAGCCGAGGGGUGCAGCGGAGGCCGUGUUUGGGGUCGACGGUGACAUAAUCUUGAAAAAGCUCCAUCUGUCAUCUCUGGCCUUUUACUGUUGUAACAGCACUUAUGGUCCCAGCCAACUGCUGAGGAAUCUGUCUGUGGUUUAAUUAGCCUAUAACUCCAGCCUCCCCCACCAUGCAAGAAAGCAAUAAACAGCUUCCGUCCUCUUAGAGGGACUGGACAGUCACAGCAGGGGGAGAUCCAUGGGGCCUGAGGCCAACAAGGUCUUUGAGGACAAAUGAAGGACUUGGGAACCCGCAGGGAGGGCUCUUGGCUCAUUCCUCUCUCUCUGCUUGGGCCAUGGGAUGCCAGCCAGUGGACCUCAGAGAAAAAACAGCAAAAGUCACAAAACAACCCCUCAUGUUUACAGAGAGUCUCUCAUACAUCAAGAGCUUUCUAAGACAAGAUCUCAGUAGGAACCAUUGUGGACCUUGGUUUCUUCUUAUAUAAAUGAGGCCAUUGGGCUCAAGGACUCCUGAAGUCUCUUCUCUGACCAGAUUUUCUGCGGGUUCCAUCAUCUUAACAGAAGUCUGGUGAUGUGAUGACACCUGGAGCUGGUGUCAUUAACCUCAUCUUGUAGUUAAGAAUGCCAAGGAGCAGAGAGGGAAGCGAUGUGCCACAGCUCAUUCAGAGUCCUGCUGGAGCUAGGCCUAGACCCUGGUGAGUCCCCUCAGAGUAUAUGAUGGAUGUUCUGCCAGGGACGGAGGGUUCGAUCUGGAUUUCCAAUCUCCUCUGGAUGCACCACCGCCAAAAUACAAUACACAAUUACAGGGACAUGAUACAUCAGUGAUCACUGCAAGAAAGAAGCCCCUUUAAGGCAGCAAAGCCAAUGGCUGGUGUCUAAACUUAUGGCUACAGUCAGCUCAGAGUUCUUCUGGUCCCCGGGCAGGAGGCCUGGAAACAAUCUGGACAGCACAGGAAAUGCAACCGCUCUCCCUGUCUCUAGGGCCAGACCAGCUCUCCAUGGCCUCCUGGCUGGGCCUCAUCUGUCUGCACGGGGUACACCAAAGAGAGGAUCACCCCUCCUCUUCAGAGUUUUGAAAGCUGGGAUUCAGGGUCAGGAUCUGUAAAUUCUUGAAAUCAAGUGACAACUUGGUGUCUGUGUGUGUCUGCACUUUUUGUGGAAAGAGGUUUUCAGAGCCUUCGGAUUC
rnacentral:lncRNA from 13 species